rnacentral:lncRNA from 1 species
GAAAAAUCUUCCAAAAUAUCAAAGCUGGUAGAUCAGGAAAGUGAUAUUCUACAGCAAACAGCUGAAAGUAUUUUCUCAUUCUUUUUUUUUUGCCUCAAUUCUAGAUUUUAUCAGAGAAUCAGAGAAAAAUUAGAUUGGCAUCUGCUGGGGAGGGGUCAGCUGCAAUGAAAAAAAUUAUAAUGCAAUAGUACAGGAGCACAUCAAUUUUGUUGCAAAUUACAGCUGUGUUAACGCAGCUGCAGUCGCUGGAAUUGUCUGUUUUCUACACUGGUGGCACCUGAAAAGUGAGCUAAAUCACGGAAAGACGGAAGGAUUUUGGUUGGAAGGGGUUGCAGGAGGCCACCUCGUUCCAACCCCUGCUCAAAGCAGGACCAACUUUGAAGUUAAAUCCAACUUCAGAGUUAGAUCAGAUUGCUCCUUAUCCAGUCAGGUUUUAAAAAUCGCCACAGAUUUAGAUGCUGCAGCCUCUGGGCAGCCUGCUCCUGCACCUAAGCGCUCUGGCAGUGAAGACUUUCCUCACGUCGAGCUGGAAUUUCCUUGCUUCAAUUUUGCACCACUGCCUCCCUCCUUUCAGCGUGCUCCUGUGAGCAGAAACUGGCUCUGUCUUCGCGUAUGCAGUGGAGACGGCUGUUUGACCCAUCCCCCUUGGGCUUUUCUGUUUUCUGCUUCCAUUUGCUCUUCCAUGCCAGUUUUCAGCUGGAUCUGGGCAUGGCCUAGUGUCCAUGAGGUAAAGCUAAGGACAGGAUGUGGGACAGGGAGCAAACAGGGUUUUCCCUCCGCACACAGCAGGAGAGGAUUUCUGCAUCCAAGACUCAGCGGGCAUGGAGGGGAGGAGAAGGAGGUUGUCCAAUUUUUGUACAAAUAGACAGCUGUGGCAGAAAGUCGAACUUUCGAGAAUUCUUUUUUUAAAUGGAAAAUUUAAGAAUCAGUGAUGAUUUCAAGAACCGUUUUUAUCAGACAAAACUGCCUCGGCACAUCCCUGAGCUGAGCCCAGAUAUGUAGGCCCCAUGAUAUAUAUUUUGAACUUAUAAUUUAAGGUUUUAAUUUUUAGAAAAGGAAGAUGUAAGAGUAGUCUAUG